rnacentral:rRNA from 1 species
UACGUAGGGUGCGAGCGUUGUCCGGAAUUAUUGGGCGUAAAGAGCUUGUAGGCGGUUUGUCGCGUCUGCUGUGAAAUUUCGGGGCUCAACCCCGAACUUGCAGUGGGUACGGGCAGACUAGAGUGUGGUAGGGGAGACUGAAAUUCCUGGUGUAGCGGUGAAAUGCGCAGAUAUCAGGAGGAACACCGAUGGCGAAGGCAGGUCUCUGGGCCACUACUGACGCUGAGAAGCGAAAGCAUGGGGAGCGAACAGG